rnacentral:rRNA from 1 species
UCUGUAGGUGGUUUAUUAAGUCUAGUGUUAAAGAUCAGGGCUUAACCCUGAGUCGGCAGUAGAAACUGAUGAGCUUGAGUACGGUAGGGGCAGAGGGAAUUCCCGGUGUAGCGGUGAAAUGCGUAGAGAUCGGGAAGAACACCAAUGGCGAAAGCACUCUGCUGGCCGAAACUGACACUCAGAGACGAAAGCUAGGGGAGCGAAUG